UUGGAAGUCAUGCACGGAGCCGAGUCUUCAACGCGUUUUGUUGUCCCCUAGUCUCUCGGACAGGAUCAACAACGCGAGCUAUGAAGAUAUCCUGAAAAUCGACGCUUAUCUGAGAUGAGCCUCCCGUCUUUCAAGCCGAUUAGAUACACGUUAGUUGAUGGAAAGAGAAACUCCACGAAGGCCUGAGUUUACUGCUGGACAAGAUGACAUUUGACGUGAUUCGAUUCACGAAUAUAUUAUUCUUCCUUCUUUGGAGCUCCAGUAUAAUAAGAUGUUACAAUGUUCCUUGCACGUUUAACACUAUGUGCAUGUGUUGGGUUCAGGAUGACGAUGAUGAUUUUACGAAGAUGGAUAUUAGUUGUAUGGGAGUUCCAUUCGCACGAUUUCCUGAUGUAUCCGUGAGUUAUGUCGCGCAAUUAGAUAUUGUCGGAUCAGGAAUACAAGUUUUGGACAAUGACGCGCUUGCGAGUUCCGCAGGUGUCGAAGCUCUAGGACUGGUGAGCAAUCGAUUAUCCAGCAUAGGUGACAAGUCUCUGCUAGGUGUUACGGACAGCCUACGUUCACUGGAUUUGAGCUACAACUCUCUUGAGGAUGUGCCUUUCAAGGUUUUUCGCGAUCUGAAAAAAUUAAAUUGGCUAAAUAUGCACAGUAAUCACUUAACAUCAUUGGAUGGCGACUGGGGCCGUACCAAAGAAACUCUGACAAACGCAUUCUUCGGUGAUAAUUCAAUCACUGAAGUGCCCAGAAUUUUUUCGAGUUUCGCCAAUCUGGUGUGGUUAAAUGUAGACAGCAACAAUAUUGAGGAGCUCUAUAAAGAUUCCUUGCCACCAAACAUGCACACCCUGAGCAUCAAUAAUAACCUCUUGAAAGAAUUUCCACAAGCUUUAGGAAAGCUGAAAGAAUUAAAUUGGCUCUAUAUGAGAGGAAAUGAUCUCAAGUAUCUGGAACUGCCCGAUUUUCGCAGUUCCAAUUUAGAGCUCAUUGACGUGAGCGAGAACUCUAUUGAAUGGAUAAAGACACCCAUUCUAAGCAACCACACUGUAAAGAUCAGAGACUUUAAUCUAGACGGAAACAAACUGAUCUCGUUGCCAGGCAGAAUGUUCGACCGUCUUGAGACCAGAAGAAUUCACCUGUCAUCGAACAGUAUCAGAAACGUUGAUAAGGAAGCGUUUCGCGGUUUGGAAGACAGUCUGGAAUAUUUGAACCUGGAGAACAACGACCUGCCGACGGUACCAGUUGCUAUUAGCCAAUUGAGAAUGUUGUCGUACCUCUAUUUGGCCAACAAUGAGAUUAGAAAUAUUUCCGGUGAGGCCUUUCAGGAAUUCGCGGAGCAUCUAAAGGCCCUCUCUCUUGCAACCAACAGUUUGGAUGCAGUGCCUGUAGCGGCUCUAUCUAGAUGCCAGAGGCUAUUGCACCUGAAUCUUGGUUACAACAAGAUCUCCCAUGUCGAGCCAGGUGAUUUCGAGUGGGCCGACGACCUUGAGAUCUUAUUGCUCAGGAACAAUAUCCUGACGAAACUGAAAGCUGAAACUUUCAAAGGAGCCGGUAAACUGAAAGAGCUUAGCUUGUCCUUCAAUCACUUGACGGAACUCGACGACGACUGCUUCGUUGGUCUCGAGGAGAGCCUAGACAUUCUCGAGUUGAGCUUCGCCUUCGCUACAGACGUCUUCCCUCAGCGUGCACUCAGGCCACUCUUGAAUCUCCGAUGGCUGGUUUUAGAUAACAACAAUUUCCAGACAAUCGAGGCGACAGCCUUUUACUCCUUUCAACAACUGCGCUACAUUAACAUGGAGUCGAACAGACUCCACUACUUGCCCGAAAGAAUAUUCCUCUCAAGCGUGCAUCCAGAGUUAAGAGACGUCAAACUCGGAUACAAUUUUCUGGAGGCAAUACCGGAGUCCAGUUUUCAUAAUCUGACCGAGCUGCUGUCUCUGGACCUAACCGGAAAUCGAAUAAAAGUCUUGGCGUCCGAUUCCAUCGUAGAUUGUCCAAAGCUGGUGACCAUAUCGUUGGCUUACAAUCGGAUACACAAGAUGGAGAGAAACGCGCUGUACGGUUUGGCCAGCUUGCGCUUCCUUCAUUUGGAAUUCAAUAAACUGACUAUGCUGGACUUGGGCGCUAUCUCGGAGAUCGGUGGCUCUGACUUUGCCUUAAACGUCUCCUACAAUGCGAUCGCGUUCGUCGACUCGGGAUCUACAAUGAAUAAUCUUACCAGAUUGGAUCUUGGAUUCAAUAAUAUCAGCCACUUAUUGGCGGACACGUUUUAUGGAACGCCCGAUUUGAAAAAUUUAUAUUUGCAGAAUAACUUUCUCUCAACGAUCGAUCCUGGAACAUUUGCAUUUCCUCAUUUGGAAACUCUGGACCUAAGUAACAACAAGAUAGAAACGUUGCGCAAGCAGUCCUUCCACGGUUUGGAAUCCCUUCAGUGGCUGAACCUCGGCGGAAACGAAAUAACGCAAUUGUCGACAGAGCAGUUCAGGAAUCUGAAAAGCCUGAGAAUUCUGAUUCUCUCGAACAAUAAGAUUCGUUCGUUACCGAAAGAUGUUUUCGAGGGUACCAAAUUGGAAAUUCUAGAUCUUAGUCACAACAAAUUUACCGUGGUACCCUCAUCGUCGUUCUUGGAAGUCGGCUAUACUCUUAGAGACCUCAACAUGGCGGAGAAUUUUCUGGAUCACCUUGACUCGACUGCUUUCCCGACUUCUCAGCUAGUAUCUCUGAACCUGGCGCAAAAUCGUCUGACUAUUCUGCCAGAUAACUCCUUCGUUUCCUUGGGGAAAUUACUGAGCCUGAACGUAUCUCAGAAUGUUCUUCAAGCAAACUUUAAAGAGCUGUUCCAUUACUUACCGGAUCUCAGACAUCUUUAUCUGGCCAAUUGCGGCCUUAGAAGUGUACCGUUGUUGCCAUUGACGAAUUUAAAUAUCUUGGAUUUAUCUUUUAACAAUGUUGACGAGACUACUGACAAGCAAUUUCAGUACCUAGAAGGUUUGAAAAUUCUCCUACUGGUAAAUAACUCGUUGACUUCGAUGCCUAGUGUCAAAUUGAGUCUCUUGAGAGAGCUCGAUGUUUCUGGCAACCCUAUCGAGGAAUUGACGAAAGAAAGCUUCCUGGGAUAUCCGAGAUUAGAGAAAUUAAACUUAAGAAACCUAAAUCGGACCAGAUCAGUGGACAAGGAUUGUCUGCAAUCUUUGAAAUAUUUAAAACACCUGCGAAUCCAAACUUGGCCGCAAGCCGACGGGUUUCAUCUGCGUCAUUUGCUGUUCGGCUUACCGCUUCGAACGGUCGAGAUUCAAGUGACGGAGCACUUGCUGAAGCAUCAGAUACAAAAUGUCUUUACGAAACAUUUGAGAGAAUUGACGAUCACUGGGAGCGAUCUUGAAUGGAUCUCUUCCGAGGCGUUCUCCACUAUCGAGGGCGGAGAAUUGAUACUGAGAAUCAAAGACACGCACGUUCAACGACUACAAUCGGAUAUUUUUCUAUCGUUGACGAAGAGAUUGUCGCAGCUUACUUUGGACCUAAGGAACAAUCAUAUCAACGAAUUAAGCCCGUCGAUAAUUUACGGGAAUCUUUCCUGGGAGACUGUGGGGACCAACAUGGUGGCUGGUGGGCUGCAAGUGUCGGGCAAUCCGCUCGAAUGCGACUGCGAGAUUGCAUGGCUGAGUCUAUGGCUGCGCAGGUGGCUCAGAGAGUCCCGACAGAUUCACACGGCGUCGCAAUCCGACGCCAGGCAACUCAGGACUAUAGCCGGCCGAGCUGUAUGCACGGAAACAACUCCAUCUUACUCUUCCGACAAGGUCUUGCUGACUCUGGGUACACCGCACACCGCUUGUCAAGCGUCGGCCCUCAGCUCGGGAAAUUACGAGCGGCUGGCGACAGCCUGGUUGGCCUUCGUCAAGUUCUUUAUCCUCGUAUUCAUCGCCAAUUAACUGCCAGUUCAUAGCACGACAAGUUUCCCUGGGCCUAGUCUUCGAAAUUCACAACGUGAUCUUUUUUAAUAUGGCGAGGAUAAAAAUACACGAGAAUGGAAAAAUUCUUAAAAAAAGUAAGAAUAAAGAUGUAUAGACAGUAAGGUACUUGUGGGGAAUAUAGAAUGGGAGAAACAAUUCUAUAAUAAAACUUGUCGACGCAAUGAUAAUAUAUACUAUUGCUUGCGAA